AUCGAAUAGUCACCAACCCGAUAGAGCUAGUAUAGAGCUGUUAAGCUGAAUCCAUCCGAUCAUAUCACACACAAAGAGAGAGAGAGAGAGAGAGAGGUAGAGGAGGAAAGGGGAAUCGAUGAAGAAAGCUGUGGCGUUUACAACAACUACCCCGUCGUUUUUGGCAAUUUGGGUCUUUGUGCUCUCAGUCGUUCUCCUCUGCCUCCUCCAAUUGGCCUCUGCCAGCCGUCUUCUCUCCGAAGAUGUGCACGGAAAUGGAGUUCUCCCGUAUCUAGCUGGUCCGGCAGUUGCACGCAAUCUAGGAGGAGUGGGUGGAAGUCCGUACCGUGGAGAUGGGAAACAUAACCCCUAAAGCUCCAACCAGCUCUGCCGGCACCAUGUCGUACGUGUUCAAUAUCAACUAUGCCCCCAAAGCUAGUAAUAAGAACAUAUAUCACGAAGUUAAAGCAUUCUACUUUGUCUCGCCAGAUGAUGUUUACGACUCUUUUUACACAAUUGUAGUUCUAAGAUCAUGCAAUAAGUGUGACAUCCGAGAAAUUCGUAGUUCUUACGUUCUCGAUUCUACAUGUAAGGAGCUUACAAAUAAGGUUUUCAUUUCUCGCCAUUUUGUAUAAUAUAAAGUGCAAUACAAAAUAACAAGUUGUCUUU